rnacentral:lncRNA from 1 species
UAAUAUCUCUUUUAACUGUAUUUCCAAACCAACCUUUAAAUUGAGGAUUAAUACCUCGUUGAAUUGUUCCUACAAAAUCAUGAGUUUCCAUCAUGUUGAAAGGUUGUUUUGCUCUUAUUAUAUAAUCAAUCAUUUCUUCACGACAGUUAGAUUCAUCAUAAGAAAAUGUUUUUAAAUUUCCACUUUCAUUUUUACCUAAUUGUAUAUAAUUUCUAAUAUCU